UACGUAGGUGGCUAGCGUUGUCCGGAUUUACUGGGCGUAAAGAGCGCGCAGGCGGUCGUUCAAGUCGAGUGUGAAAGCCCCCGGCUCAACUGGGGAGGGUCACUCGAUACUGAUCGACUCGAAGGCAGGAGAGGGAAGCGGAAUUCCCGGUGUAGUGGUGAAAUGCGUAGAUAUCGGGAGGAACACCAGUAGCGAAGGCGGCACUCUGGGCCGGUACUGACGCUGAGGAGCGAAAGCGUGGGGAGCGAACAGG
rnacentral:rRNA from 1 species